GCCCAGCUAGCUCAGUCGGUAGAGCAUCAGGGUCGUGGGUUCGAGCCCCACGUUGGGCG
rnacentral:tRNA from 1 species